rnacentral:rRNA from 1 species
UACGGAGGGGGCUAGCGUUGUUCGGAAUUACUGGGCGUAAAGCGCGCGUAGGCGGCUUUGUAAGUUAGAGGUGAAAGCCCAGGGCUUAACCCUGGAAUUGCCUUUAAGACUGCAUCGCUAGAAUCGUGGAGAGGUGAGUGGAAUUCCGAGUGUAGAGGUGAAAUUCGUAGAUAUUCGGAAGAACACCAGUGGCGAAGGCGACUCACUGGACACGUAUUGACGCUGAGGUGGCGAAAGCGUGGGGAGCAAACAGG